rnacentral:rRNA from 1 species
UAAGACGGAGGGUGCUAGCGUUGUUCGGAAUGACUGGGCGUAAAGGGCGCGUAGGCGGCUUUAUUAGUUGGGCGUGAAAGCCCCGGGCUUAACCUGGGAACUGCGUUCAAUACUGUAAGGCUUGAGGACGGAAGAGGAGAGUGGAAUUCCUAGUGUAGAGGUGAAAUUCGUAGAUAUUAGGAGGAACACCAGAGGCGAAGGCGGCUCUCUGGUCCGUUACUGACGCUGAGGCGCGAAAGCGUGGGGAGCAAACAGG